rnacentral:misc_RNA from 1 species
AAGACUAUAGACCUGCGGAGUACCUGCGGAAGGAUCAUUACCGAGUUAGGGUCUUUUGGCCCGACCUCCAACCCUUUGUUUAUUAUACCAUGUUGCUUUGGUGGGCCUGCCUUUCGGGGCUGCCGGGGGCAUCACUGCCCCUGACUCGUGCCUGCCAGGAGCCUUCUUAAAUUCAGUGUUCAACGGUGCUGUCUGAGUCCCAGUAUCAAAAUAUCAAAAACUUUCAGCAACGGAUCUCUA